UGACCUAGUCCGCCAUUGUCAAUGUGAAUGACAAAUGUCUGUAAUGUGUUACUCGAUGUGUUAGGCUUUAUCAACACUUCACGAUUAUGACUAAAUAUGGAAAGUCCAUUGGCGAAUUCAUUUGCGAUAAUGUUCCAGAUAGAAAUGUAUGGUUUAAAUGAAAGUACAGUUACUUUUUAAAACAAGAGCGAGUGUUUAUUUUAUAUAGACACACAAUUUUGAAGAUUUCUGGAAUACAAUACUUGUUAAUAAUAUAACAAAACAACUACCUUAACGAAUUUUGCGCUCAAAUUCCGGAUAUCUACAGCACUUUACAUAUUUUAACAACACCUAUAACUGGAUUUACGCAGACGUAUUGUGCAUUAAACAAGGCGAAUAAUGUCAUUAUUAAGUCAGACAUUUUGUCUGUACCUUACAUUGGUACUAACGGUGCCCAGUGGUGGGUUUCUGUUAAAUUGUAUGGAUCUCUGUGGACAUGACCUAGAAUCCGCUGCUUUCCACGCUGAAGGAUGCGACUGUGCGCUAAUGCCACAUCAGCCCCUUAGGACAACAACCACUAAAUCCACGCCCCAAACCACAACUUCUACUACGACAACGCGUCUAGCGGUGACGACACUGUCAAUGUGCGACUACUUGUGUUCCAUUCAGAUGGGCGGCGCGGCGUGCUCCUGCUCAAAGCCAAUCAUACCAGGCCGUCGAAACUCUGGACAAAUCAUACCCGACCGUCAAAACUCUUGAGCAAUCAUACCAAGCCGUCGAAACGCUUGCCCAAUCAUAUCCGGCCGUCGAACGACAGACUGAAUCUAGUUGUAUUAUCAAGAUUAUACGUGUUUAUUUAUUAUCAAGAUUGAAUUGUGCAUAAUAUAUUAAUAUAUCUAAUAAAAUGGUUGUUUGGGGAAAUACUUAUCCUUAAA